UACGUAGGGUGCGAGCGUUGUCCGGAAUUAUUGGGCGUAAAGAGCUCGUAGGCGGUCUGUCGCGUCGGUCGUGAAAACUUGGGGCUUAACCCUGAGCUUGCGGUCGAUACGGGCAUGACUGGAGUUCGGCAGGGGAGACUGGAAUUCCUGGUGUAGCGGUGAAAUGCGCAGAUAUCAGGAGGAACACCGGUGGCGAAGGCGGGUCUCUGGGCAGUGGCUGACGCUGAGGCGCGACAGCGUGGGGAGCAAACAGG
rnacentral:rRNA from 1 species